rnacentral:rRNA from 1 species
UACAGAGGGUGCAAGCGUUGUUCGGAAUUAUUGGGCGUAAAGCGCGUGUAGGCGGCUUUGCAAGUCGGGUGUGAAAGCCCUCAGCUCAACUGAGGAAGUGCGCCCGAAACUGCAGAGCUUGAGUGCCGGAGAGGGUGGCGGAAUUCCCCAAGUAGAGGUGAAAUUCGUAGAUAUGGGGAGGAACACCGGUGGCGAAGGCGGCGACCUGGGUCGAGACUGACGCUGAGGCGCGAAAGCGUGGGGAGCAAACAGG